UAAAGAGACAAAACAAUUUUGUUCUCUACUUAAUUUGGGCCAAUAUGCAAUAACCACAACUUUUUGGGCCAUAAAGCAAUUAACCUCAACUUUUGGGCUAUAUUGCAAAACUUUUGGGGUCACUUUGUAAAAACACAAAAGUCCACUACUUCAUGUAAUUACACUACAACCCAAAAUUUAAUCAAUGCAAAAACUUCAUUAAAGGAGCAAAACAAUUUGUCCUUUAGCGUUUUUGGACCUAAACGUAAAAACGUAAACUUUUGGGCCAAAGUGCAAAUACACAAAAGUAUCAAAACUUUAUGUAAUUGCAUAAAAAAACCCAAAAGUACUCCCAUUGAGGGAGGGCCGGUUUUUAGAGAGGGAAAGGGAGUGGAGAUAAGUCCACAAAAAUUUGGAAAUUUUUUCAACAAUUUCAUAAAGCCUUGCAAGUGGAAUUUGUGACAUAAAUUCAUGCAAGUGGAAUUUGUGACAUAAGAGAAGUACUUCUUACACACCUAUCACCAUUUCCAUCACCUUACACAAUUUCUAUCACAUUAAAACAUGUGAUAAAGCACAAAACAAAGACUUUAUGAAAUAAAUCAAAACUUUGAAUCAAAACACAAACAUUUUUGUUCUUGGCAAAAAUGUCAAGAACAAUGAAGAACACUCAUGAAAAAACUCAAAAUUUUCCAUGAACAUUUUUCACCCAAAAACAUUCCAAAACCAUUCAAACUUUAGGGAAAUAACAUCUAACCAAACUAGGGUACAUAGGGGUUCCAAAAGUCACUUGAAAACACUUUUAACAAGUCAAACAAGAACCCAAAAAUCCACCCUUUGGAUUUGGCCGAAAAUCCCCAAAGUCAUGGCACCAAAUUUUAGCUCCAAUAUUCAUGCUCAUAUGAACUACAUCUACAACAUUUGAGAUGACAAAUUUUCAAACAAAAUUUACAUUCAAAGAAGCAAGAAUAAAGCUUGUAACAAUUACAACUUUUAAAUCACAAACUAUGAACUACAAAACACAAAAGGAUUUACCAACUACUAGACCUAGGCUCUGAUACCACUUGAAGGAUUAUUUUGUGAAAACAUGUUCAUUUAAGUAACAUCAAUAAGCAUGCAAUUAACAAUUAAAGGCGGAAUCAUGCUUGCAUGCACUUAAAAACAAAAAAUUAACCAUGAAAUUCAAAGCCUAGUAGAUUGGUGAACCAAGACUCAACUCAAAUCAAAGUGAGUUGAAAUUUAUACCUUUGUAGAUUCCUCUUUGCAUAAGCAAA
rnacentral:lncRNA from 1 species